rnacentral:rRNA from 1 species
GACGAACGCUGGCGGCGUGCCUAAUACAUGCAAGUUGAGCGAUGAAGAUUGGUGCUUGCACCAAUUUGAAGAGCAGCGAACGGGUGAGUAACGCGUGGGGAAUCUGCCUUUGAGCGGGGGACAACAUUUGGAAACGAAUGCUAAUACCGCAUAAUAACUUUAAACAUAAGUUUUAAGUUUGAAAGAUGCAAUUGCAUCACUCAAAGAUGAUCCCGCGUUGUAUUAGCUAGUUGGUGAGGUAAAGGCUCACCAAGGCGAUGAUACAUAGCCGACCUGAGAGGGUGAUCGGCCACAUUGGGACUGAGACACGGCCCAAACUCCUACGGGAGGCAGCAGUAGGGAAUCUUCGGCAAUGGACGAAAGUCUGACCGAGCAACGCCGCGUGAGUGAAGAAGGUUUUCGGACCGUAAAACUCAGUUGGUAGAGAAGAACGUUGGUGAGAGUGGAAAGCUCAUCAAGUGACGGUAACUACCCAGAAAGGGACGGCUAACUACGUG